rnacentral:rRNA from 1 species
UACGGAGGGUGCGAGCGUUGUCCGGAAUCAUUGGGCGUAAAGGGCGCGUAGGUGGCCCGGUCAGUCUUUGGUGAAAGCGCGGGGCUCAACCCUGCGUCGGCCAGGGAUACUGCCGCGGCUCGAGCACUGUAGAGGCAGGCGGAAUUCCGGGUGUAGCGGUGGAAUGCGUAGAGAUCCGGAAGAACACCGGUGGCGAAGGCGGCCUGCUGGGCAGUUAGCUGACACUGAGGCGCGACAGCGUGGGAGCAACAGG